AAAACGGAGAGUUUGAUCCUGGCUCAGGAUGAACGCUGGCGGUAUGCUUAACACAUGCAAGUCGAACGGUGUCUUCGGACACAGUGGCGGACGGGUGAGUAACGCGUGAGAAUCUGGCUCUAGGUCUGGGACAACCACUGGAAACGGUGGCUAAUACCGGAUGUGCCGAGAGGUGAAAGGUUAACUGCCUAGAGAUGAGCUCGCGUCUGAUUAGCUAGUUGGAAGUGUAAUGGACUCCCAAGGCGACGAUCAGUAGCUGGUCUGAGAGGACGAUCAGCCACACUGGGACUGAGACACGGCCCAGACUCCUACGGGAGGCAGCAGUGGGGAAUUUUCCGCAAUGGGCGAAAGCCUGACGGAGCAAUACCGCGUGAGGGAGGAAGGCUCUUGGGUCGUAAACCUCUUUUCUCAGGGAAGAACACAAUGACGGUACCUGAGGAAUAAGCAUCGGCUAACUCCGUGCCAGCAGCCGCGGUAAUACGGAGGAUGCAAGCGUUAUCCGGAAUGAUUGGGCGUAAAGCGUCCGCAGGUGGCAAUGUAAGUCUGCUGUUAAAGAGUCUAGCUCAACUAGAUAAAAGCAGUGGAAACUACAUAGCUAGAGUACGUUCGGGGCAGAGGGAAUUCCUGGUGUAGCGGUGAAAUGCGUAGAGAUCAGGAAGAACACUUAGGUGGCGAAGGCGCUCUGCUAGGCGUAACUGACACUGAGGGACGAAAGCUAGGGGAGCGAAUGGGAUUAGAUACCCCAGUAGUCCUAGCCGUAAACGAUGGAUACUAGGCGUGGCUUGUAUCGACCCGAGCCGUGCCGUAGCUAACGCGUUAAGUAUCCCGCCUGGGGAGUACGCUUAAGCAACGGUGAAACUCAAAGGAAUUGACGGGGGGGCCCGCACAAGCGGUGGAGUAUGUGGUUUAAUUCGAUGCAACGCGAAGAACCUUACCAAGGCUUGACAUGUCGCGAAUCUUCUUGAAAGGGAAGAGUGCCUUCGGGAGCGCGAACACAGGUGGUGCAUGGCUGUCGUCAGCUCGUGUCGUGAGAUGUUGGGUUAAGUCCCGCAACGAGCGCAACCCUCGUUUUUAGUUGCCAGCAUUAAGUUGGGCACUCUAGAGAGACUGCCGGUGACAAACCGGAGGAAGGUGGGGAUGACGUCAAGUCAGCAUGCCCCUUACGCCUUGGGCUACACACGUACUACAAUGCUCCGGACAGAGGGCAGCAAGCAUGCGAAUGCAAGCAAAUCCCGUAAACCGGAGCUCAGUUCAGAUCGCAGGCUGCAACUCGCCUGCGUGAAGGAGGAAUCGCUAGUAAUUGCAGGUCAGCAUACUGCAGUGAAUUCGUUCCCGGGCCUUGUACACACCGCCCGUCACACCAUGGAAGCUGGUAGUGCCCGAAGUCAUUACUCCAACCAUUCGUGGAGGAGGAUGCCUAAGGCAGGACUGGUGACUGGGGUGAAGUCGUAACAAGGUAGCCGUACCGGAAGGUGUGGCUGGAUCACCUCCUUUUU
rnacentral:rRNA from 1 species